CCUACGGGUGACAGCAGUGGGGAAUAUUGCACAAUGGCGGAAACCCUGAUGCAGCGACGCCGCGUGAGUGAAGAAGUAUCUCCGUACGUAACGCUCUAUUAGCAGGAAAGAAAAUGACGGUACCUGACUCAGAAGCACCGUCUAACUACGUGCCAGCAGCCGCGGUUAUACGUCGGGGGCAGGCGUUAUCCGGAUUUACUGGGUGUAAAGGGAGCGUCGGCGGCUAAUCAAGUCAGAAGGGAAAACCCAGGGGUCAACCUUGGUACUGCCUGUGAAACUGCGUAGCUUGAGUGCAGGAGAGGUAAGCGGAAUGCGUGGUGUAGCGGUGAAAUGCGUAGAUAUUAGGCAGAACACCAGUGGCGAAGGCAGCUUACUGGACUGUAACUGACGUUGAGGCUCGAAAGCGUGGGGAGCAAACAGGAUUAGAUACCCCAGUAGUC
rnacentral:rRNA from 1 species